UUUUUGCUCGUCUGUUUUUCAAUGUAGUUCUUGCCUUUUGACGAAAAGAAAGAAGAUUUACCUUUCUUUGUAUUCGUUAGUAGAUCGUUAUUUAUACAUGUAGUUGGGAAGCUUUUGUGGAUAUGAAGUUGACAAGUGCGUAAAUGCACGUAUUCAUCUGAAGCCCUGAACACCCUCGUCAGCAAAUAAUAGAAGAAACUCUCUUACUAUCUUUUUAAUAGUAGAAUCCAUGUUCUGGAAAGAUUGCACCGUCGGUGACUCCGGCUGGGCGGUUCACGACAUUAUUUUCGCAUUGGUGUGACGUAGUUUUCUGUUCCAAAUGACCUGGUUGUCAUCCACACCAAUCAGGAUUAUGUCAUGGUUGUUCAAAACCAAUUAUUCUAGUGCAGGAUUACAAUUGAAAUUCGCUCAAGCUGACAUCCCAAGCAAAAACUAUAUACCAGCAGCAAGCAACAAAGGACCAUGGCCAUCACAUGAUUUGGGUCCCACUGGUUCAAAAUCACCAUUGGCCCUCCUCAUCUCUCCAGCAGGUUCAACUGUGGGGGCCAUGUGGGUGUUCCUUUUUUCAUGCUUGGAAUUUAAGUCAGGAUUAUGAGCAAGGACAGGGGUGGGGUUCAAGCUUUUUCUAAUUGAUGAUGAUCAUGUAAACAUGUACCUCUAUCUAGAGGUCUCUGUUUUUAACGAACUGUUUGAUCAACUAACUCACUCUUUUGUUUUUCUAUUUGUUAAUAACUCCGUAUCCGGCCAAACAAAUCGACUAACUUGGUAGACCAAUCGUACUGUUCACUAGCAUGCGGGUGGUAGCAAAUUCCAGACCAAAAGUUUCCGGAGGUCCUUAGUUGCCAAGUGACUAAUACCGCGUGGGGGUUAAAUAAUGAACUCUUCCAUUUGAAGACACUUUUGACCUAUUUACCAAGAAAAAAGGGACAGUGUUGACAAAGCAUAAUAUCAUCGAAGUUGUGUUUGAAUUAUGGAUUUGUGGAGGGAUUAACUGGGGGAAGCAAAGAGGACAUGGAAAGCAAAGGGAUUACUUUAGUGUUUUCCCUAAACUGGGCCCAUAUCUUUUUAUUUACCAAUUUUCUUUCUCUUGAUAUCGCUCCACAAAUCCUUGAUCCAAACACUGUCUAAGGUGCACCUACCUGUCCUGAGACAACUAUGAAGAAAAAGGUUGUAAUUGAGUUUCUGGAUAGACCUGAAAACCUCAGCAUGAGUGUGAGUGAGGAAACAUCCAGAGAAUAAGAUAAUAUUGGGGAAGGAGAUGAUGAUAUGUGUGGUGGUUUCUGAAGGUUGCUCCCUACUGAACCUGGCAGAUUUCAUUUUCUCCCUCAGUAUCAGCAUGGACCACUGGAAAAGAUGAUUCAAGUUUCCUGUUAUGAUUUGUUGUGAUGAAAUUUGGGUGAUUGGAAAUGAAUCAAAUGAUUGAAAUUUGAAAAUACAAAGAAAAUCAAGAUCAAUUCUCAUCGUCAUCUUGGUUUUGGUUUUAAAAAAAGUAAGAGAAUCAUCUGAAACUCAACCAAAAAUUUGACAAAGGUCAACUGUGCAGGGAGGCCAGUUAGAAUUUGCUUUCUUACGUUCAAAUUGGUGAUUAUAACAUAAAAGCAAAACUUGUGCAGAAGGUAAUUGUUUCGUUCUCACAUUUCCUUGAUGGAAUGCUACCGGGUUUAAUGGUUUUUGAACAGUUCUUUUAGAAGAUGGAAAAUAUUUAAUUUAAUAGGGUCGUAUGAUUUGGGAUUUAACUGAUUGUGUUGGCAAAACAUGAAUCUUAAAUAGAAUUUGUAGUGUGUAAUGACAUUAUACUUUCUUGUCUGUGACUAAAUCAAAUAACAUAGGGCGUUGGUGAUGAUUACUUUUGUAUCUGCAUGUAUAUUUCUUUACACGGCGUU